CGCCCCCCACAUAUCUCUCUCUCUGCUCUCUCUGAUCUCUCUUCUGCCUGCCAUCAUUUUCGCCGACUCCAGAGGCUUUGAGCUACCAUUUCUGCUAUACUAGAGCUUCAGCUUAUAGCCCCUCAUUGGUGCCGACGAGUAUGAGCAUGGCAGUUCGGGUUAUAAGAGAUGAAUGAACGUAUUUUUUUUUUUAAUCUCAUUCUAUUGGAAUGAGA
rnacentral:lncRNA from 1 species